rnacentral:misc_RNA from 1 species
AAGUCGUAACAGAAUUUCCGUAGCUGGACCUGCGGAAGGAUCAUUAUUGAAUAAUCUCGAUGGAUUGUUGCUGGCUCUUCAAGGGAGAAAGUGCACGUCUGUCAUUUUUAUCUUUCCACUAUGUGCACUCUGUAUAGACUUGGACAUUUCCAAACUUUGUUUUGAUUUUUGGAGAUUACUGUUUGUGAUAACAGCAUUUUCUGUGUUCAAGUUCUAUGAAUUUAUAUACACUCCUACGCAUGUCAAAGAAUGUUUUUUUCAAAGCCUAUAAAGUGUAUUACAACUUUAAGCAACGGAUCUCUUGGCUCUC